rnacentral:misc_RNA from 1 species
GCACAAGUUUACAAAAAUCUAUUACAAUGUUUACGAUCACAAAUUGCUCAGACAUUCAUAUAUACAAAGGAUAAAACAACAUCCCCCCCUCUUAGUUUCUCUUUCUCCUUUGAACACUUCCUUCUUGUCAUUUCUCUGAUAUGGCUAUACAAGUAUAAAUCUUGAGUGACCUACAAGCUUCUCACAAUCCUUCCGAGUCGCCUGAGCUCAGGCUGUUCAAGCAGCAUGUCUUGAAUUGGCCUUAUCGUCGUUCCCUUGACCCCAGAACUGUAAAUGGACUCGAGGGAUAUAAGCCUGUGGUGAAUGGUGUAGUCACUUCCAACAUAAGUGACGACCAAGUUACCAGCGUCAGGGUGGGGCCAGCUCCUUGAUGUAGGAAAUCGCAGUAUAUAAGUACCUGGUUCUUGAAGAGCUCCCAGAAUUGUAAGUGAAGAUUCUGCUUCUUCCUUGGUAAUGAACCCUUCGAUCCACACGGGUGAUGUUGAACCCCACAAUGAAGAAAUACAUUGCUGUGACAAUGUAAAAG